rnacentral:tRNA from 4 species
GGGCCUAUAGCUCAGUUGGUUAGAGCACCUGACUCAUAAUCAGGGAGUCACUGGUUCAAGCCCAGUUGGGCCCA